rnacentral:rRNA from 1 species
UACGUAGGGUGCGAGCGUUGUCCGGAAUUAUUGGGCGUAAAGAGCUCGUAGGCGGUCUGUCGCGUCGAUCGUGAAAACUUGGGGCUUAACCCUGAGCUUGCGGUCGAUACGGGCGGACUAGAGGUAGGCAGGGGAGAACGGAAUUCCUGGUGUAGCGGUGAAAUGCGCAGAUAUCAGGAGGAACACCGGUGGCGAAGGCGGUUCUCUGGGCCUUACCUGACGCUGAGGAGCGAAAGCGUGGGGAGCAAACAGG